AUCCGCUAUCUGAUUUGGCCAUGAUGCAUAACUGUACCGUUAUCGGUUACAGCAGGGAUGGACUGCAUUUUACCCCUCCGACAUCUGAGAUAACGGAAUCGCCAGCGCCUGUGACAAGUUAUUCAGCUAAGGUUACCCAUAGCCAGUUAGCUAACCCACCUAUCGUAGCAGCUAUUGCUGUCUUGACGUUCUGUCGGCUUUGGUGGCUAAGUAGAAAAUGUUGGUCAUUAUCAACCGCAGUGGAGCUAUAUUUUUAUGCAAUACAACGUGAGAGACUACAAACAGCCCCAAAUAGACAACUAAGAGCCCAUUCUGUCAAGCAGUUUUCUUAGCAAAACAAUACUUGCUUACAUCCUGACAUGCAACUGCAACACCUAGCUAUAGUGAUUGCUAGUGAGCGUCGCAAGAGGAGGGAACAGAAUUCAACACUUUUCGCUCAUUUGUAACUUUUAUACCUUGUUCAUAUAGCUACUGUUUUAGUUUCCCCAUGUCUCUGCUCCACAAACCCCAGCCUGUGUGUGUGACAUGUAUAGACUGACCAAUGAAACUGUUGCGCAUUUAUUUUGACAACUUCUCAAACGCAAAGGUCUGGGUUGGCCCCAACCCCCAACGUGGUUGCAUCACAUACCACAGAAGUAGGCAGGCCGACACACUAGGUAUCUGUGGACAUGCCCCAGCAGGCAGAAUGCUCGUUAAAAAGGACAUAUUGGGCUUUCAAAUAAGAUGCAACAUUCAACAUUUCAAUCUUUGUGAACUUCUGCACAAAGUUAAAGGAAUACAUGUUCAACAUUCAAUGUCUGGACAUAGCCUGACUCUCGCCAGACCCUUGUAGUUCCGCCAUGCUCCACCAGAGGCGUUUCGCUAAGCUCCACACAAGGGUCUGGACGCGAGGGCAAUCCAAACCCCCGUGCCAGUGAUCAAAAAAUGAGCAGCCAAUCAGGAGCGCCGAAGCGAGUGUUUGAUUCAAAUAACAAUGGCGGCACGCAGCGAGGAGUCUUGUGCUGACAUUGAUUCUGCUAUUUCAACCGUUUUGUCGCAUCUAUCGAGUAUUCAUUCUUUCAGAGAAUAGUUUUGAAGACAUUUAUUGGUGGCAAGGAUGUUUUUACUCUUCUUCCGACCGGGAUUGGCAAGUACUUGAAGAAGCCUAGCACGUCAUUCAAGAUAACAGGCAAGUGGUUUAUCAAAUCACAUGCGAGGAUGUUUUACAAGGACCCGCCUUCAGAAAUACAUCUCCUAUCGAGAAGUCCCAGAUCCUUGUGUGAAGCAGACAGCGAACUACAGGAUCUGGCGAAAGUCAGGUUAGUCUGGACAAUCGUUAUGAGGCAUAGAGAUAGGUAAAGACCUUUUUUUAUAAGUAUAAAAGACUUAUUUGGGAACUGAAAUAAAAUUGAUAUUGUGGAUUUGCAUACAUUUGGAUGGAUUGUUUAUGUAUUACUUAUUUUUUAUUACAAAGGUUAUGUGGCUAUGGUGAAAAGCAAAAUGCCUGCCACGGCCACCAGGAGGGAUGCAUGAUGUUGUUUAAAUGGUAGCUAUCAUAGUAAGCCUUGAUCAUCAAAACAUAGCGGUAGACAUAACCUAUCUGUGCUAUCAUGGACAUUGCUGAGACAAAUACUUGUGCU